UUGAAGUCAAUUUCAGAUUUGAGAUGAAGAAUCUGAGGCACAAAGAGGUCAACUGGCUUGCCCAAGGGUACUUGGCAGGUCUCAAAAACAUCUUCUACCAUAUUGGAACAGAAAAAAAUGAAGACAAUGAGCAUAUCCUCUUACACAUGACUUCUAUUGAAAUGUUUCCAAAUCUUAAAUGCUAUAAUAUUUGCUUUGUUCCUUAUCAACUUUUACAAACAAAUCUUUAGAAACUGCUUUACAAAAAUAAUAUAUGUUCCCAUUUAUUUAUAUGUUCAUUGCUUACCUCCAUUCACUAGAAUGUAAGCUCCAUGAUGGGAGAAAUACUGUCAGCAUAUUUUCAUUUCAUUGUAUAUCCUUAAUACUUUGAGUAAUGAAUAGAUGAGUGAAACGUGUAGAAUUUAGUAAGUAUAAAUAUGCAAAAAUAAAACUUUCAAUUUAACGUACCCAUUUUAAAUACCGUAUAUAGUUUUUUUACAAAAAUGUGAUAAUGCUGUUUUGUAAUAAGUUCUUUUUUUAAAUUUUAACAAUAUAAAUGAACAUUUUUGCAUGUCAAUAAAUAUUUGUCUUUUUAAAUGUAUGGGUAACAUUUCCAUAUACAAAUAUGACAUAAUUUAUUUUUUGUUGUUGGGCAUUUACAUUGUUUUCAGUUGCUCUAUAUUAUAGGCAAUGCUUCAGUCUUUGCAUGUAUCCAUAACACUUCUCUUUGGCUACAUUACUAGAAGUAGAGUUUGCAUUUCAUGGAUUUUAAUUACAAGAAUUGCCAAGUUGUCUUCCAGAAAGAUGCUGCUAAUUUGUACAAUAAGCAGCAUUGUAGGAGAGGGUUCAUUUUCCUGAACUUUAACCUCACUAAUAUUUUCUUUCAUUAUAAUUCAUAUUGUUAUUUUAAAAUCUUCACAAAUUUGGUAAAAGUGGGAUCUUCUUUUAUGAUUUGCAUUAAUUUUAUUGCAAAUGAGCUUUUACUGUUUUCUUAUGCUUAUUAUUUAAUUUGUUUUAUUAAUUUUUCUCUUGGUACUCUUUCUUAUUAAGCUAUUAAUAGGACAAAGUAGAAAAUAACUAUUUCUCAAAUUCUUUUGAUUCGUAAGACAUCAAUUAAAAAAAAAAGAAACCCAAACCAGCAUGCCUACUUCAUCCUGUGUUGUGAGACAUGGCUAUGUGUGUCUAGGGUAUUCCAGUUUCCCGAAGCAUAGUAAGUGGAAAGUGACUUGGUAAAACAUAAAAACAGUAAGAUGGAUUAAAGCCAGACAAUGGAAGAGUUAAACUUUAUGCUAAUGAGUUAUGACUUGAAUCAGCAGGCAGUUACUAUGAAAGAAUGUACAAUUUAGCCAUCCCAAGUUGUUAUAUCUUGAUGAGUGAAUAGCUUACUACUUUUGCAGCAAUAUGUAGUUUUUAAAGUAAUUUUUCUGUUAACAGGAAGGGAUAAUUUGGACAGGGUAGUGGGAAAAAGAUCAGCUUAAAGUUUUUCUUACCUUAUCUAAUUUCUCCCACCCAGAAUUAAUGCCACUCUCCUUUCUGUUCCCUUGGUACUUUCUUCCAUUAUAGCACUAGCCACAUGCAAUUGCAGCACGUAACAUCAGUAUUAUUUCUGUAUGCAUCUGUGGUGCCUACUCUAAGGCACAGUCCAAAAGGGCCUUUUCUGUUUUGUGUGUUCCCAUCCUGCUGAAUGGAUGGUUUGGUUCAAUAAAGUCGUAUUAACAUCAGAAGACCGAAUUGCAUUUCUUGUCUUGUUGGCCAGAAAGCUGAUUCCUGUCCAUGAUUACUUGAAAUGUGGAUUUGGUUUAGCUAAUCAUAUCUUUUCUCAUUGUAGUUAACUAGAAAGAAGAAAUUACAGUAACAAGUAAUUGUUUCUUUAUCGUUGUUUAAAAGUUUAUUCUGAUUGAGGGCUGAAGUGCUUUUCUUACUCUGCCUUAUUAAACACCUAAAUUUUCUCUUUCAAAAUGUCAUUUUGUGAAAGGAUCAAGAAUACUACAUAAAUGAUAGAAUCUACUUUAUGGCACUGUGCUUGUAGAAAUGUUAUGCUUAGUUAAAAUUGAGAUACUCUAUAUGGGAGGAGAGCUCAUAUUGAUUUGGGGUAUAUAAUACAAAGUAAAAUGAGAUGAUAGAAAGAAACAAUGCAUAGGAAAGAAAACCUAUUGAUUUCUCUUCUCUUGAGCAUGAACCCACACAUAGCUACUCAAAUAUUUG
rnacentral:lncRNA from 10 species